UCUUGUGCUUCAUAUUUUCAUGAAUUUUCAUAACAUAUUUAAGCACGACAUGUUGACAUGUCUCAUCCACACUACAGCUACAUUCACGAAGGGUGUAUUCACAAAUGAAUAACACUAGAUUCACAUGAAUCAAUUUGUGACAUAACCUACAAAUAUAACAUCGCUUAAUCUGUUAAGGAGAUAUAACUCCAAACCUGUAGCAGUGACAUGAUUAGUUCUUGGUGUGUUCUCUCCCUUUCUUUGGACUUUGGCUUGGCAGAGAGAGAAACCGUCGCCUUAACCGAUUGUGGAGGAAUAACAGAAAGUCAAGAUCCAGGGCCAUCCUUAGGGAUUUGCAGCUGUUGCGGUCACUCGGGGCCAUGCGCUUGAGGGGGCCACACGAUCACGAACACACCGGGCCCUGCCUCCACGCGUUGUUUAGACCAAUACUUGGAGAAAAACAAACACAUCUUUCC
ensembl:lncRNA